rnacentral:rRNA from 1 species
UACGUAGGUGGCAAGCGUUGUCCGGAUUUAUUGGGUUUAAAGGGUGCGUAAGCGGUCUAUUAAGUCAGUGCUGAAAUAUCCCGGCUUAACCGGGAGGGUGGCAUUGAUACUGAUGGACUUGAGUAGAGUCGAGGUAGGCGGAAUUGACGGUGUAGCGGUGAAAUGCUUAGAUAUCGUCAAGAACACCGAUAGUGUAGACAGCUUACUAGGCUCAAACUGACGCUGAGGCACGAAAGUGUGGGGAUCAAACAGG